rnacentral:rRNA from 2 species
AAGCGCGCGCAGGCGGUCUCUUAAGUCUGAUGUGAAAGCCCACGGCUCAACCGUGGAGGGUCAUUGGAAACUGGGGGACUUGAGUACUGGAGAGGAGAGUGGAAUUCCAUGUGUAGCGGUGAAAUGCGUAGAUAUAUGGAGGAACACCAGUGGCGAAGGCGGCUCUCUGGCCAGUAACUGACGCUGAGGCGCGAAAGCGUGGGGAGCAAACAGGAUUAGAUACCCUGGUAGUCCACGCCGUAAACGAUGAGUGCUAGGUGUUGGGGGGUUCCACCCUCAGUGCUGACGUUAACACAUUAAGCACUCCGCCUGGGGAGUACGACCGCAAGGUUGAAACUCAAAGGAAUUGACGGGGGCCCGCACAAGCAGUGGAGCAUGUGGUUUAAUUCGAAGCAACGCGAAGAACCUUACCAGGUCUUGACAUCCUUCGCUACUUCUAGAGAUAGAAGGUUCCCCUUCGGGGGACGAAGUGACAGGUGGUGCAUGGUUGUCGUCAGCUCGUGUCGUGAGAUGUUGGGUUAAGUCCCGCAACGAGCGCAACCCUUGAUCUUAGUUGCCAGCAUUCAGUUGGGCACUCUAAGGUGACUGCCGGUGACAAACCGGAGGAAGGUGGGGACGACGUCAAAUCAUCAUGCCCCUUAUGACCUGGGCUACACACGUGCUACAAUGGAUGGUACAAAGGGCAGCAAAACCGCGAGGUUGAGCGAAUCCCAUAAAGCCAUUCUCAGUUCGGAUUGCAGGCUGCAACUCGCCUGCAUGAAGCCGGAAUUGCUAGUAAUC